CCGCGACGUCCUCCUAAAAUGAUACAAAAGGUAAACUCCAGGUAUAUUUAUUACAGGCACAUGUCUACAUAGCAAGGAAAUGACGAGUCGCUCUAGUUAGGUCAGGGGGGGAAGUCAAGAACAAGUCACAGUUUCUGAGAUCUAAACGGGACGGACGGACGGACAGACCACACAAAACUAAUAGCUUCUAUUCCCCUUUCGGGGGCCGCUAAAAAUUGAUUCUGAGACUAAAAGACGACGACAGCAUGUUCAGCGUUACUAAUAUAUGAGUUUUCAGUAAACGAUCUGGAGGAAAAAAACAACUUGUCAGGCCCUGCGGAUAACUCAUCCAACCAGACAACAAUGGGAUCCCCAAGUCAUCACAAGAACCUGCGAUUACAUCCAAAGGUUCAGAAAGAUUACAGAAUAUCGUGCAUAAGUUCAAAAAGAUUACAGAAUAUAGUGGCUGGACUCAGGACUGAACAAAGAACAAAGCUAAAAUAUAAAAGAUCAAUUUCUCCCUAAAGAGAACAGAUAAAAAAGCACUGGUCAAAGAGACAAGCUUUAGAAAAAAAAAUCCGGUUUGAUAUAUUUCACUUAACAGCAUUUAUAUAG